GGAGGGAUGGCUGAGCGGCCGAAAGCGGCGGUCUUGAAAACCGUUGGGCAUGCAAGUGCCCCGUGGGUUCGAAUCCUACUCCCUCCGCCA
rnacentral:tRNA from 3 species